GACGUAGGGCGCGAGCGUUGUCCGGAUUUAUUGGGCGUAAAGAGCUCGUAGGCGGCUUGUCGCGUCGACUGUGAAAACCCGUGGCUCAACCAUGUGGUCUGCAGUCGAUACGGGCAGGCUAGAAUUCGGUAGGGGAGACUGGAAUUCCUGGUGUAGCGGUGAAAUGCGCAGAUAUCAGGAGGAACACCUAUAGCGAAGGCAGCUUGCUGGGACGUUACUGACGCUAAGGCGCGAAAGCGUGGGGAGCGAACAGG
rnacentral:rRNA from 1 species